AACGAACGCUGGCGGCAUGCCUAACACAUGCAAGUCGAACGAGACCUUCGGGUCUAGUUGCGCACGGGUGCGUUACGCGUGGGAACCUGCCCUUAGGUUCGGAAUAACUCCCCGAAAGGGGUGCUAAUACCGGAUAAUGUCUUCGGACCAAAGAUUUAUCGCCUUUGGAUGGGCCCGCGUUGGAUUAGCUAGUUGGUAGGGUAAAAGCCUACCAAGGCGACGAUCCAUAGCUGGUCUGAGAGGAUGAUCAGCCACACUGGGACUGAGACACGGCCCAGACUCCUACGGGAGGCAGCAGUGGGGAAUAUUGGACAAUGGGCGAAAGCCUGAUCCAGCAAUGCCGCGUGAGUGAUGAAGGCCUUAGGGUUGUAAAGCUCUUUUACCCGGGAUGAUAAUGACAGUACCGGGAGAAUAAGCUCCGGCUAACUCCGUG
rnacentral:rRNA from 1 species